rnacentral:rRNA from 1 species
GAGCUUUAAUUAAUUAAUUCAUAAUUUUAAAUUUAAUAAUUCUCUUAAGAAACAACUUUGUAUUAUUGAAUUAACAAUUUAGGUUGGGGUGACCUCGGCAAAAAGAUAAACUCCCGAGAUAAAUUAUAUUGAGACACACAAGUCAAAAUUAUUAAAUUAUUAUUGACCCGUAUAUAACGAUCAACGAAAUAAGUUACCCUAGGGAUAACAGCGCAAUCCUAUUUAAGAGUCCAUAUCGAAAAUUAGGGUUUAC